ACCUGCGGAGGAUCAUUAGUGAAUCUAGCGUGUCUUCGGAGCGCGAACUCUCACUUUACACACUGUGCACUUUAUUCAGCGGAUGACGAGGCUUUCGAGUCGAGUCUCUGCGCUCACAUUUAAACACGAGUUGAUGUAUGUCAAUAUAUUAAAACAAAGAAAAACUUUCAACAACGGAUCUCUUGGCUCUCGCAUCGAUGAAGAACGCAGCGAAAUGCGAUAAGUAAUGUGAAUUGCAGAAUUCAGUGAAUCAUCGAAUCUUUGAACGCAUCUUGCGCUCUCUGGUAUUCCGGAGAGCAUGUCUGUUUGAGUGUCAUGAACUCUUCAACCCACCGGUUUCUAGUUAAACUGCUGUGGCGCUUGGAUCCUGAGCGUUUGCUCUGCCUUGGCAGAGCUCGUUCGUAGAACAUUAGCUUUCUUGACUCGAUUCGGAUUGACUCGGCGUAAUAGACUAUUCGCUGAGGACAAGCUUCGCGCUUGGCCGGCUCGACUGUCAGACGAAGGCUUCUAGUCUGUCAUUUUUUAAGAUUAGACCUCAAAUCAGAUAGG
rnacentral:rRNA from 1 species